GUAUCAUCUCUUCUCCACCGGCUUCCCAGUUUACACCCUCGGCCAACACUAUUGUUUGAGGCUUCAGACUUGUGACUCCAACUGCCCAUCCAACAUCUCCAUGUGGAUGACUUGUGUCUCUCCCUGCGUGCCCACCACUGUUUACCCCCGCUCAUGUGCAAGGAAGGACGGAGUCGGCAUCUGAGUGGCCAUGGGCAAGGACUCACCGCAUUUGCUGUCCUGUAGCACCUGGCCUGCGCCACAUGCCCCCUGCCCCUCCAGGGCCUUGGCUGGCCUCUGGGCUACCUCGUACUCAGUGCCUGAGAUCUGGACGUAGAACUGCUGCCGGCCGAUGGACUUGCGCAGGGUCUUGAUGGCGGCCUGCAGGCUCUGUUCUGCUCGCUUCCGCAAGCAGUCUGCUUCGCACGUGUCUGCAGGGGCAGGAGAGACAGAACAUGAAUCGCCCGCAACCCUGCUAGCCACUGCCUUCUUAGCUGAGGGCUCCCCCGUGCCAGGCCCUGCACUGGACUCGGACCACCUCAGCACAUUCUCACGACAGUCCUGGGGCAAGGGGUCACUGUCAUGCCCAUCUGACAGAUGAGGAGGCUGCGGACCUGGGAGGCAGGGCCUGCCCAAGGCCACGCGGCAGAUCUGAGUGCAAUCCAGGCAGCUGCCACUGUAACACAUCACCCCCCAGGGUUCGACUCACGGGGCAAGAACUCCUUUCUGUCACUCAAAGACUCUUGGGGACUGCCACUGUCCCAAGGAUAGUGUCCAGCUCUCUGGCCUUGAAUCCAAGGCCCUUCAAGGUCCAGCCCCGUCUGGCCUUGCCAUCCUCAUCCCCUCCACUCUGACACUCCCUGUGGAUUCCAAUGUCUAGCCACCCGGCCCUACUUACUGCUUCCUGGACACCUCCUCCUCUCUCUGACCUCUGUGCCUUUGCCGAUUCUAUUCCCUCUGCCUGAAUGCCAUUCCUUGCCACCUCUUCCACCCAGUGAGCUUUGAUUCUAAGCUCUCAUUCAAAUGGCACCUCUUCUGGGAAAGCUUUCUGAUAUGGUUUCAAUAUUUGCCUCUUCCAAACCUCAUGCUGAAAUCUGAUCCCUAAUGCUGGGGGUGGGGCCUGGUGGGAGGUCUCUGGGUCGUGGGGUAGGUCCCUCAUGAAUGGCCUGGUGCUGUCCUCGUGGUAGUCAGUUCUUGCUGGCUCUACUAGUCCCCAUGAGAUGUGAUUGUUGAAAAGAUGUAGGCACCCCCUCCCCUCUCUCUUGCUCCUUUCCCCUUGCCAUGUGAUGCCAGCUGCUCUUCACCUUCCUCUGUGAGCAGAAGCAGCCUAAGGCCUCGCCAGGCAGAUGCUGCUGCCGUGUUCUCGGACAGCCUGCAGAGCCAAGAGCCAAUAAACUCUUCUCCUGAUAAAUUA